rnacentral:pre_miRNA from 1 species
AAUGUACUCCCUCCGUCUGAAAAUACUUGUCGAAUAAAUGGAUGUAUCUAGAUGUAUUUUAGUUUUAGAUACAUCCAUUUUUAUCCAUUUUCAUGACAAGUAAUUCUGGACGGAGGGAGUACUAA